rnacentral:misc_RNA from 1 species
AAACUCUUUCAAAUUUCACUCUCCCAAAAACAGAAAAGGAGAUGAAGAAUUUACAUCCUUAUUUGUAUGAGAAUAAAGGAGAGAGGGUGAAAUGGAUAAUGGCAUUAAUGUAUAGACAAAGGGGAUAAUGGUUCGAAACCUGUUGUGCUUUUUUCAAUUUUUUGACAAAACCUUUUAAUUUUGGCAAUUUCAGAAUUCAAAAAGACAAACAAAAUUUAAAAAAUAAUUAAAAGUUUUAUAUCUGAUUAGAAUAUAAAUUUUUUUCCUUUCUCCAAAAAACCUCUCUAUCUCCACAACAACACCCGCUGCCACCAAUCUAGGCAGAGUAUCAGCACAUGGACAAGAUGGACAGUGUUCACUAGUGAGAGGGAAGUUUAAUGGUGUGGUAUGCAUCCUCAACUGACAUUAAUAGUGACAAGCAAUAAAUGAAUUUUCCAAAAGUGAGUGCAGAGGUGGAAGAAGAGAGGAAGGGCAGGUUGGGAUGAGAUAAAGAGGGAGGAGGACAGGAAAAGUG